rnacentral:rRNA from 1 species
AGUGAACGCUGGCGGUAGGCCUAACACAUGCAAGUCGAACGGCAGCACAGUAAGAGCUUGCUCUUACGGGUGGCGAGUGGCGGACGGGUGAGGAAUACAUCGGAAUCUACUUUUUCGUGGGGGAUAACGUAGGGAAACUUACGCUAAUACCGCAUACGACCUACGGGUGAAAGCAGGGGAUCUUCGGACCUUGCGCGAUUGAAUGAGCCGAUGUCGGAUUAGCUAGUUGGCGGGGUAAAGGCCCACCAAGGCGACGAUCCGUAGCUGGUCCGAGAGGAUGGACCGCCCACACUGAACCUGGGACACGGUCCAGACUCCACCGGAAGCCAGAAGUGGGAAUAUUGGACAAUGGGCGCAAGCCUGAUCCAGCCAUACCGCGUGGGUGAAGAAGGCCUUCGGGUUGUAAAGCCCUUUUGUUGGGAAAGAAAAGCAGCAGGUUAAUACCCCGCUGUUCUGACGGUACCCAAAGAAUAAGCACCGGCUAACUUCGUG